UUAAAUCCUUGCACUGAAGUAUAUAUACCUUUUCUCUCUGUUCCUUUCAUCCAGAGACAAACCACAUCAUAAAGUAGGUAAGAAUCCCCCAGAAGCAGUACCGGCCUUGAGGAAAUGCUGGUGACUUUGGUUCUCUUUGCAGAGAGGCCGCGUGUCUUCCUGCUGAUUUCAGUGUCUGAUGAAGUGCAAAUCCCUGGAAAUGACACCAUGAUUUCCCAUCACUGCGCAGCGAUGUUCUCACAGUACAUUGUUAAAGCAGAGAGGAACUUUCAGCUUUAUUGGAGAUCUCACGUAGUCCAGAGCCAUUGCGAUUAACAGUCCACACAUCAGCAUGUCAGUAUAGAUCCACCAGAACAGAAAGAGCAAUUGUUCACCAGAUUCCAUAGGAUAUUCAGAUACCAGGCUCUUUACUGGUUAUGGAGAGAGAUUUAAAAAAAAUACACGGUUGUAAAUGGCAACAAGUCAAACUGGGCUUCUGACAAUAAAGGACAACACUUGGAAGGUUAGUUGAUGAAGCAGAUGAAGACAUUAAUUUUGAACAUUUGGACACCUGGAUUCAAAGUAAAAUAAUUUUGCAGUGCCAUCCAAGUUCUCAGCUGUCCAUUCUACAAAAUCUGGCAUAAGGAGGCUCUGGAGGGAUCCAGGAUCUGCAGAGCAGAAUUCAGUGUGUCUCAUCUUGCUGCUGGCUGCAUAAAGAUUCUGUCACUUCCACUAUUCGUAGCUGUUUUGCUCAACAAGUUGACUUGGCUCAACAGAGGGUGUGAAGACCUUGAUCUUCAGUGC